UCUGCUCUCCUAGGGCAGGAGGAGGAUUUCUCUCACAUGGCAAAGGACGAAAAAUGGCCUUCCCACCUGAAGUCAGAUAAACAGCUGCAUCUUUCACACGACUGAGAAAACAACACUCAGUGAGAUCUCAGUGUUUUGAAGUCACUGAUCUCAAGAAACGUUUCAUGUGACCUACACUAAUGGCAAACACCAGGCCAGAGGCUUAAACCAGAUCCAGCCCAAGCAGCAUCGCCCAACAGUGGGAAGACUGUCCACUUCUAGACAACCUCUUCAUCAGGAUAUGGGCCCUUCUUUGG
rnacentral:lncRNA from 1 species